rnacentral:lncRNA from 1 species
GCUCCUGCAGGCCCAGCUGCUCCGCAGGGUCCCCCCCAGCACGGGCACCCCUGGGAAGGGCCCGGCCACAGCCCCCCCGGCCUGGCCCCAUGCAGCCCCCCCUGGGGCGGACGGGGAGCCCCGGACCCUGCUGCCCCCCCCGGGGCAUCCCUGGCCCCGUGGUGGCCUCUGCCCAGAGCUGGAGUACUACCGGCUCAGCGUGGCCCGGCCCCCCUACACCUAUGCCACGCUCAUCCGCUGGGUGAGUGACCCCCCCCACAGCCCCUAUAGCUCCCCCAGAGCACCCUGGAACCCCCCCAUGUCC